rnacentral:rRNA from 1 species
ACGGAAGGCAGCAGUGGGGAAUAUUGGACAAUGGGGGCAACCCUGAUCCAGCGACGCCGCGUGAGUGAAGAAGUAUUUCGGUAUGUAAAGCUCUAUCAGCAGGGAAGAUGAUGACGGUACCUGACUAAGAAGACCCGGCUAACUACGUGCCAGCAGCCGCGGUAAUACGUAGGGGGCAAGCGUUAUCCGGAUUUACUGGGUGUAAAGGGAGUGUAGGCGGUCAGACAAGUCAGAUGUGAAAGCCCGGGGCUCAACUCCAGGACUGCAUUUGAAACUGUAGGACUAGAGUACUGGAGAGGCAAGCGGAAUUCCUAGUGUAGCGGUGAAAUGCGUAGAUAUGAGGAGGAACACCGGUGGCGAAGGCGGCUUACUGGACAGAGACUGACGCUGAGGCUCGAAAGCGUGGGGAGCAAACAGGAUUAGAUACCCUGGUA